rnacentral:rRNA from 1 species
GACGGAGGAUGCAAGUGUUAUCCGGAAUCACUGGGCGUAAAGCGUCUGUAGGUGGUUUAAAAAGUCCACUGUUAAAAAUUGAAGCUUAACCUCAAAGAUGCCGUGGAAACUUUUAAACUUGAGUAUGAUAGGGGUAGAGGGAAUUUCCGGUGGAGCGGUGAAAUGCGUAGAGAUCGGAAAGAACACCAACGGCGAAAGCACUCUGCUGGGCCGACACUGACACUGAGAGACGAAAGCUAGGGGAGCGAAUGGG